ensembl:lncRNA
CUGUGUUCAGUGGGGCUACAAGCCUGGUGCGUCGACAUGCAUCCCAUAAUAGCAUACACUAAAUAGAGAAAAGGGUAUUUUCAGUAUUUUCAAAUGAAGUUAAUAGUUUAUGAACACAUUUGUUAUUGUCUUUCCGACUAUGGUCAGCUAUUAAGAGAUAUAAUGGAGCGCUAUUAUGCAAGUACCCCCCUUGCAAACGCAUAGGAGAAAUGGGUGUUUUUAAGUAGCCUAUUCAACAGCAGAGCUCUUCCCGUCCCCCGUCUCAGACACUGCACUGAGACUCCCGGUCUUGUCUCCAGCUCUUUGAAAAGGUGAAACGAAUAAGAUUAAAUCGGACAAAGAAUAUUCUGUAAGUGUAUCAUUAAGAUUUUACUAUACAGAUUGGGAAGGGAGUUGGACGGAGAGAGAGAGAGUGGAAGGGGGGGGGACAGCGAAUAAGAGUAGAGGGAAAUAAGGCUAUAGCACGAAAACAGUGAGAAAAACGAGAAAGUGGACAGCAGGACAUUAAAAGAAGAAGCACCCAGCGACGAAUAUUAGGCUAUGGUGGACGGAAAACAUCGGUAACUGAAUUUGGCUAACACCUGCCAGGCAAUGAGCGACUGUGCAAACUGAUCGUGCCAUACUGAAAGGAACGUCAUGAAUGCUCCUCCACAGAAUCCUGCCACCUGUGUCAGUGAAAAUAAAAAGAAAGGCUAUUGGUAUUCCUCUUUGAGGCUGGUUAAGGGAGUGAUCCUACCACCUCCAUCCCCAGUCCUACCCACUCGCGACAUUUUUUAAGAACACAUGCAGUCGCCACAGGUUAACGUCGGCGCCGCCAUUGCAUGUCUCAGGCGGACCAUACGGGAACGCAGGAGGCUGAUGCAAUGAUGUGCUGGGAUACCCUGAGUUUUAAUCACGUGUAACUGUAGCAUUACAGUCAGAGAAAGCAAAAGAAUUGUCCAAAUAAAAGAAUCAAU